rnacentral:rRNA from 1 species
ACCUACCCUUCACUACGGGACAACAGCUGGAAACGACUGCUAAUACCGUAUACGUCCUCCGGGAGAAAGAUUUAUCGGUGAUGGAUGGGGCCGCGUUAGAUUAGCUAGUUGGUGAGGUAAUAGCUCACCAAGGCGACGAUCUAUAGCUGGUCUGAGAGGAUGAUCAGCCACACUGGGACUGAGACACGGCCCAGACUCCUACGGGAGGCAGCAGUGGGGAAUAUUGGACAAUGGGGGCAACCCUGAUCCAGCAACCCGCGUGAAUGAUGAAGGCCUUAGGGUUGUAAAAUUCUUUCGCUAGGGAAGAUAAUGACUGUACCUAGUAAAGAAGCCCCGGCUAACUCCGUGCCAGCAGCCGCGGUAAUACGGAGGGGGCUAGCGUUGUUCGGAAUUACUGGGCGUAAAGCGUGCGUGGGCGGAUUAUUAAGUUAGGUGUGAAAUCCCGGGGCUCAACCCCGAACUGCACUUAAAACUGGUAAUCUUGAGUUCUGGAGAGGUAAGUGGAAUUCCUAGUGUAGAGGUGAAAUUCGUAGAUAUUAGGAGGAACACCAGAGGCGAAGGGGCUUACUGGACAGAUACUGACGCUGAGGCACGAAAGUGUGGGGAGCAAACAGGAUUAGAUACCCUGGUAGUCCACACCGUAAACGAUGAGAGCUAGUCGUCUGCAAGCAUGCUUGUAGGUGACGCAGCUAACGCAUUAAGCUCUCCGCCUGGGGAGUACGGUCGCAAGAUUAAAACUCAAAGAAAUUGACGGGGGCCCGCACAAGCGUGGAGCAUGUGGUUUAAUUCGAAGCAACG